rnacentral:rRNA from 1 species
GAUGAACGCUGGCGGCGUGCCUAAUACAUGCAAGUCGAGCGAACGGUCGAGAAGCUUUCUUCUCUGAUGUUGUCGGCGGACGGGUGAUUCCCACGUGGAUAACCUACCUAUAAGACUGGGAUAACUUCGCCGAACCGUAGCUUCUACCGGAUAAUAUAUUGAACCUCAUUGUUCACACGUGAAAGUCGGUCUUGCUUUCGCUUAUAGAUGGAUCCGCGCUGCAUUCGCUAGUUGGUAAGGUAGCGGCUUACCAAGGCAACGAUGGAUAGCCGACCUGAAAGGGUGAUCGGCCACACGGGAAGUGAGACACGGCCCAGACUCCUACGGGAGGCAGCAGUAGGGAAUCUUACGCAAUGGGGGAAAGCCUGACGGAGGAAAGCCGCGUGAGGGAUGAAGGUCUUAGGAUCGGAAAACGAUGUUAGUAGGGAAGAACAAAUGUGUAAGUAACUGUGAACAUCUUGACGGUACCUAAUGAGAAAGCCACGGCUAACUACGUG